ACGAACGCUGGCGGCGUGCCUAAUACAUGCAAGUCGAACGGCUUUUCUAUGGAAGCUUGCUUCCACUGAGAAGAUAGUGGCGAACGGGUGAGUAACACGUGGGUAACCUGCCCAUAAGAGGGGGAUAACAUCCGGAAACGGGUGCUAAUACCGCAUAGUUUUCUUGAUCGCAUGAUUGAGAAAGGAAAGACGGCCUUUGUGCUGUCGCUUAUGGAUGGACCCGCGGCGUAUUAGUUAGUUGGUGAGGUAACGGCUCACCAAGACGAUGAUACGUAGCCGACCUGAGAGGGUGAUCGGCCACAUUGGGACUGAGACACGGCCCAAACUCCUACGGGAGGCAGCAGUAGGGAAUCUUCCGCAAUGGACGAAAGUCUGACGGAGCAACGCCGCGUGAGUGAAGAAAAGGUUUUCGGAUCGUAAAACUCUGUUGUCAGAGAAGAACAAGUUGGAGAGUAACUGCUCCAGCCUUGACGGUAUCUGACCAGAAAGCCACGGCUAACUACGUGCCAGCCGCAGC
rnacentral:rRNA from 1 species